rnacentral:rRNA from 1 species
CCUACGGGAGGCAGCAGUGGGGAAUAUUGCACAAUGGGGGAAACCCUGAUGCAGCGACGCCGCGUGAAGGAAGAAGGAUUUCGGUAUGUAAACUCCUAUCAGCAGGGAAGAAAAUGACGGUACCUGACUAAGAAGCCCCGGCUAACUACGUGCCAGCAGCCGCGGUAAUACGUAGGGGGCAAGCGUUAUCCGGAUUUACUGGGUGUAAAGGGAGCGUAGGCGGUUUAGCAAGUCAGAAGUGAAAGCCCGGGGCUCAACUCCGGGACUGCUUUUGAAACUGUUGAACUAGAGUGCAGUAGAGGUAAGUGGAAUUCCUAGUGUAGCGGUGAAAGGCGUAGAUAUGAGGAGGAACACCAGUGGCGAAGGCGGCUUACUGGACUGUAAAUGACGCUGAGGCUCGAAAGCGUGGGGAGCAAACAGGAUUAGAUACCCUGGUAGUC